AGAACGAACGCUGGCGGCAGGCCUAACACAUGCAAGUCGAGCGCCCAGCAAUGGGAGCGGCGGACGGGUGAGUAACACGUGGGAAUAUGCCUUUCGGUUCGGAACAACUCGGGGAAACUCGUGCUAAUUCCGGAUACGCCCUUACGGGGAAAGAUUUAUCGCCGAAAGAUUAGCCCGCGUCCGAUUAGCUAGUUGGUGAGGUAAUGGCUCACCAAGGCACCGAUCGGUAGCUGGUUUGAGAGAACGACCAGCCACACUGGGACUGAGACACGGCACAGACUCCUACGGGAGGCAGCAGUGGGGAAUCUUGGACAAUGGGGGAAACCCUGAUCCAGCCAUGCCGCGUGAGUGAUGAAGGCCUUCGGGUUGUAAAACUCUUUCGGCGGGGACGAUAAUGACGGUACCCGCAGAAGAAGCUCCGGCUAACUUCGCGCCAGCAGCCGC
rnacentral:rRNA from 1 species